AAAAGAAACUAACAAGGAUCCCCCUAGUAACGGCGAGUGAAGCGGGAUGAGCUCAAAUUUAAAAUCUGAUAGUCUUUGGCUGUCCGAGUUGUAAUCUAGAGAAGUGUUUUCCGCGUUGGACCAUGUACCAAGUUUCCUGGAACGGAACGUCAUAGAGGGUGAGAAUCCCGUCCUUGACAUAGACUACCAGUGCUUUGUGAUACACUCUCAACGAGUCGAGUUGUUUGGGAUUGCAGCUCAAAAUGGGAGGUAAAUUCCUUCUAAAGCUAAAUAUUGGCGAGAGACCGAUAGCGAACAAGUACCGUGAGGGAAAGAUGAAAAGCACUUUGGAAAGAGAGUUAAACAGUACGUGAAAUUGUUAAAAGGGAAACGAUUGAAGUCAGUCGCGUUUACUUGGACUCAGCCUUACCUCGGUUUGGUGCAUUUCCUUGUGAACGGGCCAGCGUCAAUGUUGUCCGUUGGAAAAGGGUUGGAGAAAUGUGGCUCUUUCGGGAGUGUUAUAGUCUCUGAUCGUAUACAACGGCUGAUAUUGAGUGGUACAGCAUGCUUCGGCGGUGCUUGUGCUGGCAUAAU
rnacentral:rRNA from 1 species